rnacentral:rRNA from 1 species
CCUACGGGGGGCAGCAGUGGGGAAUAUUGGACAAUGGGGGCAACCCUGAUCCAGCCAUGCCGCGUGUGUGAAGAAGGCCCUCGGGUUGUAAAGCACUUUCAGUGAGGAAGAACGCCUGGUGGUUAAUACCCAUCAGGAAAGACAUCACUCACAGAAGAAGCACCGGCUAACUCCGUGCCAGCAGCCGCGGUAAUACGGAGGGUGCGAGCGUUAAUCGGAAUUACUGGGCGUAAAGCGCGCGUAGGUGGCUUGAUAAGCCGGUUGUGAAAGCCCCGGGCUCAACCUGGGAACGGCAUCUGGAACUGUCAAGCUAGAGUGCAGGAGAGGAAGGUAGAAUUCCAGGUGUAGCGGUGAAAUGCGUAGAGAUCGGGAGGAAUACCAGUGGCGAAGGCGGCCUUCUGGACUGACACUGACACUGAGGUGCGAAAGCGUGGGUAGCAAACAGGAUUAGAUACCCGGGUAGUC